rnacentral:rRNA from 1 species
GUGGGGAAUCUUCCGCAAUGGACGAAAGUCUGACGGAGCAACGCCGCGUGAGUGAUGAAGGUCUUCGGAUUGUAAAGCUCUGUUAAUCGGGACGAAAGAGCCUAGUGUGAAUAAUGCUAGGAAGUGACGGUACCGGAAUAGAAAGCCACGGCUAACUACGUGCCAGCAGCCGCGGUAAUACGUAGGUGGCAAGCGUUGUCCGGAAUUAUUGGGCGUAAAGCGCGCGCAGGCGGAUCUGCCAGUCUGUCUUAAAAGUUCGGGGCUUAACCCCGUGAUGGGAUGGAAACUACAGAUCUAGAGUAUCGGGGAGGAAAGUGGAAUUCCUAGUGUAGCGGUGAAAUGCGUAGAUAUUAGGAAGAACACCAGUGGCGAAGGCGACUUUCUGGACGAAAACUGACGCUGAGGCGCGAAAGCCAGGGGAGCGAACGGGAUUAGAUACCCCAGUAGUCC